UACGUAGGAGGCAAGCGUUGUCCGGAGUUACUGGGCGUAAAGCGCACGCAGGCGGUUCAGUCAGUCUGUAGGGACAGGGCACAGCUCAACUGUGUCAGGCUUACGGAAACUGCUGAACUUGAGGGCUUCAGAGGGAUGGGGAAUUCCGGGUGGAGUGGUGAAAUGCGUAGAGAUCCGGAAGAACACCAGUGGCGAAGGCGGCCAACUGGACCGAAACUGACGCUGAGGCGCGAAAGCGUGGGGAGCAAACAGG
rnacentral:rRNA from 1 species